rnacentral:rRNA from 1 species
UACGAAGGGGCGAGCGUUGUUCGGAUUUACUGGGCGUAAAGGGUGCGUAGGUGGCGCCAUAAGUCAGGUGUGAAAUCUCGGAGCUCAACUCCGAAACUGCACUUGAUACUGUGGUGCUGGAGUACUGGAGAGGAGAUUGGAAUUUACGGUGUAGCAGUGAAAUGCGUAGAUAUCGUAAGGAAGACCAGUGGCGAAGGCGAAUCUCUGGACAGUUACUGACACUGAGGCACGAAGGCCAGGGGAGCAAACGGG